UUAAGUGACGAUAGCCUAGGAGAUACACCUGUACCCAUGCCGAACACAGAAGUUAAGCCCUAGAACGCCGGAAGUAGUAGGGGGUUGCCCCCUGUGAGAUAGGGAAGUCGCUUAGC
rnacentral:rRNA from 1 species